UUAAAGUCCAUGACAUCCUGCAGCGGGUACGAACGAGUACUUGCUGAAAUAUCCAUCUGGCUACAAGCUUGCUAAAUUGUGUUAAUCCAACCUGCUGAUCUGAAAUAAAUAAGGAUUGGGAUGAGACAUAAUGUCUCAGUGAGUUCUACCUAAUCCUAGGCUAUAGGUAACCUCGGGGAAACCUAGGGUCACCAAAUACUAC
rnacentral:lncRNA from 1 species